AUUGAACGCUGGCGGAAUGCUUUACACAUGCCAGUCGAGCGGCAGCACGGGGGUAACCCUGGUGGCGAGCGGCGAACGGGUGAGUAAUACAUCGGAACAUGCCCAGUCGUGGGGGAUAACACUUCGAAAGAAGUGCUAAUACCGCAUACGUCCUGAGGGAGAAAGCGGGGGAUCGCAAGACCUCGCGCGAUUGGAGUGGCCGAUGUCAGAUUAGCUAGUUGGUGGGGUAAAGGCCUACCAAGGCAACGAUCUGUAGCUGGUCUGAGAGGAUGAUCAGCCACACUGGGACUGAGACACGGCCCAGACUCCUACGGGAGGCAGCAGUGGGGAAUUUUGGACAAUGGGGGCAACCCUGAUCCAGCCAUUCCGCGUGAGUGAAGAAGGCCUUCGGGUUGUAAAGCUCUUUCGGCAGGAACGAAACGGUGAGCUCUAACAUAGCUUGCUAAUGACGGUACCUGAAGAAGAAGCACCGGCUAACUACGUG
rnacentral:rRNA from 1 species